UUCGGUCUGGCGGCGAGUGGCGAACGGGUGAGUAAUGUAUCGGAACGUGCCCAGUAGCGGGGGAUAACUACUCGAAAGAGUAGCUAAUACCGCAUACGCCCUACGGGGGAAAGGGGGGGAUCGCAAGACCUCUCACUAUUGGAGCGGCCGAUAUCGGAUUAGCUAGUUGGUGAGGUAAAGGCUCACCAAGGCGACGAUCCGUAGCUGGUUUGAGAGGACGACCAGCCACACUGGGACUGAGACACGGCCCAGACUCCUACGGGAGGCAGCAGUGGGGAAUUUUGGACAAUGGGGGCAACCCUGAUCCAGCCAUCCCGCGUGUGCGAUGAAGGCCUUCGGGUUGUAAAGCACUUUUGGCAGGAAAGAAAUCGCAUGGAUUAAUACUCUGUGUGGAUGACGGUACCUGCAGAAUAAGCACCGGCUAACUACGUGCCAGCAGCCGCGGUAAUACGUAGGGUGCAAGCGUUAAUCGGAAUUACUGGGCGUAAAGCGUGCGCAGGCGGUUCGGAAAGAAAGAUGUGAAAUCCCAGGGCUUAACCUUGGAACUGCAUUUUUAACUCCCGAGCUAGAGUGCGUCAGAGGGGGGUGGAAUUCCGCGUGUAGCAGUGAAAUGCGUAGAUAUGCGGAGGAACACCGAUGGCGAAGGCAGCCCCCUGGGAUGACACUGACGCUCAUGCACGAAAGCGUGGGGAGCAAACGG
rnacentral:rRNA from 1 species